UGGACAGAUGAAGUCUGGAUGGGGCCUGAUUCAGAUCCCAUUGAAGUCAAUGAGAAUAUUUCAUUUGAGCUACUGACUUCAGUGGGCUUUGGUUCAGACCCACAGUCACUUGCUGAUGUAGUCA
rnacentral:precursor_RNA from 15 species